CUGUUUGAAGCAUGCCAAAAUGUCAUAGCUUAGAUAUAACUGCGCUGAAGAUGUGAGUUGGCGUGAUCCAUAAGUUAUCAUAUAUUAAGUUUCUGAGAUAUCAGACAUUCAUCUUGUUGGCAUCUUGCAUCCAUUCUUUCUAUGGUAACCACUAUUUAUAGAAUUAACAUUUGUAUGGUAACUAACAUUUACAUCUUAAUGUUUUUUAAUCUAACUCUGCAUUUUAUACACAUUCUUUCAGAAUCCCAGUUUGAGGAACUAGAAACAAACUGAGUGAAAGAGGAAAACAGAAUAAGGAAAUCGUUCUUGUUUGGCAUCCUUGUUUGUCAAGAUAUUAGGAAGGAAACAGAAUUCAGUUUUGAUCAUUAGAUUAGUGUCCAUGCUUUUCAUCUUUCAAAAAUAUUAAUUCCGUACGCAAUACAGAACCAUUGCAUAGCCCUAGUAAUGCUGUCAGAUAUUCUUGGUAACAUGUAUCAGUGCAUCUUAGGGACUGGAAGCCAAUAGAAGAAAAGUUUUUGGUUGUUGUCAAUAGAAGAAGUUGGACCGUUAGAAGUGCGAUGUAUAUUAUUCACUUUUACUUUAGUCCAAUUUUACAUUCUUUAUUUUCUUCCAGUUUGCUUGCCCUAAUUCAUUAAUGCCUGCGUCUGCAAUUGUACCUUUUCUUGUUGUCUAAAUUUGUGUAAGUUGGUGUUUGGCAAGUAUUAAUAUAAAAGGUGAUCGAGGAUGGUGGACUGCUCAAGCUUGGCUCUCAAAUCAAACAAGAUAUUGGAAUUGAAGUUGGAGCUCGUGAACUGAACAGCUCAAGUAAUCUUGAAUGAUCUCUAGGGGUGCAUAUCUCAAGCUGAGCUCCGGCUGCGCGAGGUUACUCAGAGUCAUUUAGAUGCUCAUCAACUUCUUGAGCAAGUAAAGUAUAUUUUGAUCUCAAUAAUUAACGAGUUUCACAAUAAGCCAAAGCACUGGUAUAUUCUAAUCGAAAGCUGAUCAUAAGUUGGACGUUAGUAGUUUGGGUUACCUUUGAGUAAUAAUUUCUUCGAUCUCACCCUUUUUCUGAUUUGCAGAUGGGGAACCACCCCAAUUGACGAAGGGCAAAUGUCUGGAAACAAGAAACACUGAUGAGGCUACUGGAAGAAGCAAAAUCUACUCAAUUGUCUGAAUUAAAAAAUCACAGGUGCGGAAAAUAAUAAUAUUUCUGACUGCAAAACAGGCUAUCUAUAGAAAAGGAACACUAGUACAUCUGUUUCGCACAUUCAGGCAGGCAAACGAGUGUAGUAUAAAUUUCUAGAAUUUUGUCAGUCGAGAAAUUCAGAGUUGAUUUAUUUGAAUACUAGUACAUUUUAAAUAAUGAGCAUGAAGAUCAUUAAUAUUGUGGUAAAACUCACUUUCCAUUGACCAAAUUAACAUCCUUGUUCAAUUAAUGGACUGAUUGAUGGCUGAUCUCCCAAUCACGUACCAAUCAACCACCCUUGUAGUGACUACUGCUGCUGAUCCAUUCAUCUUAAUUUUAUUUCUCUUCAAUAAUUAAUUUGAUUUUAUGGGCAUUUAAUUUGGAGAAAAAAUUACAACAAAGCUGUCACAAGGGAUUUGAUUUUAUGCAUGUAAAUUUAUAUCCUUAAUUAUAUUUAAGAAAGAAGAAGCACAAAUACAAAUAAAUGGGAAAGUUUAGAAUGCAAAUAUCACAUCACUCCUAUAAAUUUAUUUAUUUAUUUUCAUUUAUAUAUAUAUGGAGAGAGAGAGAGAGAGAGAGUGCGUGUACAUUAAUUAAUUAAUCAUGGUCCUUUGAUGUGUUGAAGUUGUCGAAAAUGCUUUUGUGCUGCUACUGCUGCUGCUUCUUCUUCUGUAUUACAUGAAUGAAUUGCUCUAUCAUUUUCCUUAUCAUCUUUCACUAUGGAAUUAUAAGUGGUGUACUUCCCAAUGGGGUUUGUGCUGCCAGAGAAGAGAAGAAACAAAGUACCCAAAACACAGCCCAGAAGGGGAACAGAUGAGCAGAUAGCUUCAGCUUUCUGUAGAUUCAUAAUAGCUAGCUAGUUUUUGCUCAAAAUUUGUACUGAUGUACGUGUGUAAUUUCUUU
rnacentral:lncRNA from 1 species